CUCCACCCUUUCCUGUCCAGACCACUGUGAAGGCCUUUAGCCACCUCCUAGAGAAGCAAGAUUUUCAGCCCUGGCUUUCCACCCCCACACCCUACAGCUGGCCACGGGACAGGGUCGUGUUCACACAGUGCUAAGGGGACACGCUGACGUGUGUGACAUCAAGAACUCCAGUGCCCACACAGGCCGAGUCUGGGUGGGAUGUUUGAAAUCAGCAAGGAGUGUGGGUUGGAUCCACGUUUCUGUUCAUACCAGCCAGGCACAUCGGAAGGCUCACGGUCAGAGGACGCUGGGACAAAUGCCACAGGAGGUUCCUUUUUGUCUGGCUCACCCAGAAGAGAGGCUCCUCUCCUCCCUUCCCUGCAGCACAACGGCCUGGCUGGCACCCGAGGGCGGCCGGCGUGGGCUGACCUCAGAGGAGCAAGGCGUGUUUGCAGCUCUGCCGCUCACAUCCACAGUGGCCAUGACAACAGACGCAGCACCAUCCAUUAAAGCUCUGUGUCAUUUCA